CACAGUUUCACACUUCAUACUUUUUCUCUCUAGAAAUAAACAACUUAGGGUUUCUUUGGUAUUUUCUGAUUCAUACUGAAUUUGAUCUAAGAGAUGGUGAUCUUGUUGUUUGUUGAUGAUUGAUAGUCAUCUUAUUCCGUGUUUAGAAAGAUAAAGUGUUUGUAUUGUUUAUGAACAUUUUGGGUAAAUAAUUAGGGUUUGGGUCUCAGUUGUUUAGAUCAUCAAAUCUUCGUUUGAUACUAUGUUUUUCACAUGGUAUCAAAGCUAUAGAAGCUCUUAGGGUUAAAGACAAGGUCUAGGGUUUGUUCAUCUUUUCUUUUGUGUUUUUCUUGGUCAGAUAUGUUUAGAUCUGAAGGUUUCUGGACAAUAUUUGUUAGUCUUGGUGGUAGUUACGUCUGCCGACUACAGAUCUCACUUGAUCAUUGUUCUUGGACCUCGUGUUGUUUCUCUGGUGAUAUACCCUUUCCCUAGGGUUUGUUGUUUGCUUGGAUUGGACGGCUAUUUUCUGACUGGUUCUUGAAACCAUAAGUGAAGGUUUCAAGAUCAGUCUGCUUGGAGUUAUACGCACCCUCGGGUGAGAUUGUUCAUUUUCUUGUUCUUUAUUUUUAAAGUUUCAUAAUUGUUUGUUGAGUCUAGGCAUUGUUGUUGUCGGGUUAGUCAGACCAGUGGGUGAUCGAGUUUUAUUGAUGCUAGUUGCUACAUUAUUACUUGAUCUGUAUUGCUUGACUAUUUUUUUUAACUUGUUAUUGUUGAGUUGUUGUUUGAUAUUGUUGUUUACAUUUGUGUAGUUGUAAAUGGCUUACUUGGUAUCAAUUGCGGUAGCACCUUUUGAGUGAUGAACCACUGAUAUGUCCCUCUAUCUUGGUUGUGCCUGUGUGUAUUUUUAGUGUUCUUCUAUAUUUGACACUUAUGAUUGUUGAUUGCUAUUUGGUUAGUAUAUGUCUUUGUUUGUUGCUUUUGUUAUUUGUUGUGUGAUCAGUCUUGGUAAAUGGUCAUGUUGUUACCACUGGUAGUGGUCCUUCUGAUCCACCACCAGAGACCUUAGUCAGCAAGUUGGAUGCUAGUGAUCAUCUGUAUUUGCAUCCCUCUGACUCUAGUAAUCUCACUAUAGUAUCUCAAAAACUAAAAGCAACUGAAAAUUAUACCAUCUGGUCUGAUGCAAUGACGUUGGCUUUACAAGUUAAAAAUAAACUUGGAUUUAUAGAUAAAACAUGUAUAAAAUCAGAAACUAGUGGUGUUCUUGCUAGGCAAUGGGAUAGGUGUAAUUUUGUGGUUCUAACUUGGAUUUUGAAUUCUAUUAGUGAUGAGUUGUAUAUGGGACAAGUUUUUUCUAAGCUUGUUUCUGAUGUUUGGAGUGAGUUAAAAGAAACUUAUAAUAAGGUUGAUGGGUCUGCUGUGUUUGACCUAUAUCAAAAAAAAUAACUCAUUUAGUCAAAAUGAGAUGUCAGUGUGUCUGAGUAUCAUGAUAUAAGUUGAAUGUUAUGUGGAAACAGUUAGAUCAAAUUUUACAUUUGCCUACGUGCACAUGUAAUGUUGCCAAAGAUUUUAAUAGCUUUAAUCAAAUGAUUAAGUUGAUGCAGUUUUUAAUGGGUUUGGAUAGUUAUUAUCAAAAUGUAAGAACAACACUUUUAAUAAAAGAAACAUUACCUUCUGUGAAAGAAGCUUUUGCUAUAGUUUCUAGAGAAAAUCUCAUAGAAACUCUAGCAAUUGUGGUGUGAAAAAGAGUCAAACAGUAGGGUUUGUUUCUAAAUCAAAUCUAAUGAUACAACUAAAAAGUUCUCUAAAGUUUCAGAUCAGAUUUUGAAAUGCACUAAUUAUAAUAAAUGGUAAGACUAUUGAAAAGUGUUUUGAAUUAAUAGGCUAUCCCUCUUGGAUGAGAUCAAGAGGGAAUCGAAGCAAGAAGGCAAGUGUAGAUGCUAGUUGUGCUAUUAAUGAUUCUUCUGUUCCUAUAACAUCACUGACAAAUGAUCAGAUGACUAGGCUGUUAAAUCCGCUUAAUGAUAGAACAAGUGAUACACCUCAAAGUUGCAAUGUGUCAGGUAGUUUGUAUUAUUCAUAUGUAUUUGUACAGUAUGUUUAUUGUUUUGCUAAUAUACUUGGUAAACAUAAAGAUUCUGAUUGGAUAAUAGAUUAGGGGCAAAUCGACAUAUGGUUAAAAGUGAAAAAGAUUUAGAUUAUUAUGUUGAUGUCACUGAAUUAAACAUACAAGUAAAACAUCCAAAUGGAACAAGUGCACUAGUAACUAAAAUUGGAACUUUAAAACUUGUUCAUGGAGUAGUUUUACAUGAUGUCUUUGUAGUUCCAGGAAUCUAAUCUUUGUUCAUAAAUUAGCAAAAGAUAAUCAACUAUUUGUUGGAUUUGAUGAACAAAAUUGCUAUAUACAGGACAUAUCAACAAGGAAAAUCCCGGUGACUGGUAAUCAAAUAGAUGGUUUGUAUUUGUGUGGCAAUACUGUUGUGUCAAACAAGGCCUAAAACAGCAUACCGGACAAGAUGAUAGUGAAAACGAAAACUUUCCGGACAAAACGACGAAGCUGCGAACAUUCUGUUAGAAAACUGACCUGGGCAAGUGGAACGGUCGUGCGGUCUGAGGAACGACCUUGCAUCUCCGACAAACCAAGACCAGGCGGUGAUGAACGACCAGUGCAACGCGGCGUGCAAGACAGUCCCGGUGACGCACGGUCGUGCCAUACAUUGCACCCCGUGCGGAUCUGAUGUUCAGCAAAUUCCGGUGAUGAACGACCAGUGCUUCAGUCCGUGCAACAAGAUCCCGGAAACGCACGGUCGUGCGAUAUGAAGAACGGUCGUGCGAGACCGAAGACCAGUCAACUCUGCUGAUGUCAUGAACAGUAACUCCAAUAAUGCAAAAAAGUGAACGGUCGUGCAAUCGGUGCACGACCGUGCGACAUCGAAAAAAUAUAAAAAACGAACACAAACAUUCUGUUCGUAACUUUGGAAUUUUGGAGAGCUUCACAGGCGAUUUUCAGGCUCCGGAAGCAUUAGCUUUAGCCCGGAUUCAAGCCACAUUGUCCGGUUUAGCUCGAUUACUAUCCGGAUUCUCAUUCUUAUGCUUGUUUAUGGUUUGGUUUCUUAAAUCUUUCCAUAUUUUAGAUUGAUUAUUUAUGUAUUAUUGUAGCCUUUGGGCAAAAACACAACAAUUCCUUGCUUGAUUGUAGCCAUUAGUAUGUUAAUCUUUGUUUGUAA